rnacentral:rRNA from 1 species
ACCCGCGUACAUGCCACCGGGGCAUCCCGGAGGCAGGAAAGGCUUCGGCCGGACAGGGAUGGGCAUGCGGCGCAUUAGGCAGUAGGCGGGGUAACGGCCCACCUAACCGACGAUGCGUAGGGGUUCUGAGAGGAAGGUCCCCCACACUGGUACUGAGACACGGACCAGACUCCUACGGGAGGCAGCAGUGAGGAAUAUUGGUCAAUGGUCGGGAGACUGAACCAGCCAAGCCGCGUGAGGGAUGAAGGUACAGAGUAUCGUAAACCUCUUUUGUCAGGGAACAAAGGCGGGGACGUGUCCCCGGAUGAGUGUACCUGAAGAAAAAGCAUCGGCUAACUCCGUGCCAGCAGCCGCGGUAAUACGGAGGAUGCGAGCGUUAUCCGGAUUUAUUGGGUUUAAAGGGUGCGCAGGCGGUCUGUUAAGUCAGCGGUCAAAGCCCGGGGCUCAACCCCGGUCCGCCGUUGAAACUGGCAGUCUCGAGUUGGAGAGAAGUAUGCGGAAUGCGCGGUGUAGCGGUGAAAUGCAUAGAUAUCGCGCAGAACUCCGAUUGCGAAGGCAGCAUGCCGGCUCCACACUGACGCUGAGGCACGAAAGCGUGGGUAUCGAACAGGAUUAGAUACCCUGGUAGUCCACGCAGUAAACGAU